rnacentral:rRNA from 1 species
UAAUACGAAGGGGGCUAGCGUUGCUCGGAAUUACUGGGCGUAAAGGGCGCGUAGGCGGAUAUUUAAGUCGGGGGUGAAAGCCCAGGGCUCAACCCUGGAAUAGCCUUCGAUACUGGAUAUCUUGAGUUCGGGAGAGGUGAGUGGAACUCCGAGUGUAGAGGUGAAAUUCGUAGAUAUUCGGAAGAACACCA